rnacentral:misc_RNA from 1 species
ACUGCGCCAGGGAUAGUAAUGAAAAGCCCACAGCAAGCCCGAUGACAAUUGGUAAAGGCUUGCGAGGACUUGUAAUGGAUAGCCCGACCCUUU